GUGGGGAAUAUUGGACAAUGGGCGCAAGCCUGAUCCAGCCAUGCCGCGUGAAUGAUGAAGGCCUUAGGGUUGUAAAGUUCUUUCGCCAGGGACGAUAAUGACGGUACCUGGAUAAGAAGCCCCGGCUAACUUCGUGACAGCAGCCGCGGUAAUACGAAGGGGGCUAGCGUUGUUCGGAUUUACUGGGCGUAAAGCGCACGUAGGCGGAUCUUUAAGUCAGGUGUGAAAUCCCGAGGCUCAACCUCGGAACUGCCCUUGAUACUGGAGAUCUGGAGUGCGGGAGUGGUGAGUGGAACUGCGAGUGUAGAGGUGAAAUUCGUAGAUAUUCGCAAGAACACCAGUGGCGAAGGCGGCUCACUGGCCCGAUACUGACGCUGAGGUGCGAAAGCGUGGGGAGCAAACAGGAUUAGAUACCCCUGUAGUCC
rnacentral:rRNA from 1 species